rnacentral:rRNA from 1 species
CCUACGGGAGGCAGCAGUGAGGAAUAUUGGUCAAUGGGCGAGAGCCUGAACCAGCCAAGUCGCGUGAAGGAUGACGGCCCUACGGGUUGUAAACUUCUUUUGUCAGGGAGCAAUUGUGUCCACGCGUGUGCUUAGCUCGUGUCCCUGAAGUAAAAGAAUCGGCUAACUCCGUGCCAGCAGCCGCGGUCAUAAGGAGGUCGCGAGCGUUAUCCGGCUUUAUUGGGUUUAAAGGGUGCGUAGGCGGAAUAUCAAGUCAGUGGUAAAAAUUCGGGGCUCAACCCCGUCGGGCCGUGGAUACUGAUGAUCUAGAGUGAGCGAGAAGUAUGCGGAAUGCGUGGUGUAGCGGUGAAAUGCGUAGAUAUCACGAAGAACUCCGAUUGCGAAGGCAGCAUACCGGCGCCCAACUGACGCUGAAGCACGAAAGCGUGGGGAUCGAACAGGAUUAGAUACCCGGGUAGUC